AAUCCUGGCUCAGGACGAACGCCGGCGGCGUGCCUAAUACAUGCAAGUAGAACGCUGAAGGGAGAGCUUGCUCUUCUGGAUGAGUUGCGAACGGGUGAGUAACGCGUAGGUAACCUGCCUGGUAGCGGGGGAUAACUAUUGGAAACGAUAGCUAAUACCGCAUAACAUUGACUAUUGCAUGAUAGUCAAUUGAAAGGUGCAAAUGCACCACUACCAGAUGGACCUGCGUUGUAUUAG
rnacentral:rRNA from 1 species